UUAUUUAUUUUAUUAUAUUUAUUUUUUGUUUAUUUAAUUAUUUAAUAAAAAUAAUUUUAUUGAAUUUUGUCUUAGUAUAUUUUGUAGAAUUGAUUUUUUAAAUUAUAGUUUAUUGGUAAUGUAAUUGUUUUAUGAGAUAUUAUUUUAAAUUUUUAAAAGUAUAUUUUAUUUAUUGUACCUUUUGUAUCAGGGUUUAUCAAAAUUUUAGUAUUUAAUUUACUUGUCUCGAUUUGGGUUGAUUUAUAAAUAAUUUAUAGUUAAUGUAUCAUAAUUAUUAUUAAAUUAUUUAUGGAAAUGAAAUGUUAAUCGUUUCCCAAGAUAUCUAGUUUCUUAAGAAAAANNNNNNNNNAAAAWUGAUUUCCGCCUGUUUAUCAAAAACAKGUCCUCUUGAAAAUACUUUGAGGUCUGGCCUGCUCACUGAGCGGAUUUUUAAAGAGCCGCGGUAUUUUGACCGUGCAAAGGUAGCAUAAUCAUUAGUCUCUUAAUUAGUGGCUGGAAUGAAUGGCUUGACGAGAAAUCAACUGUCUCUUAAUAAAUUUUUGAAUUUAACUUUUGAGUCAAAAGGCUUAAAUUUUUCUUUAGGACGAGAAGACCCUAUAGAGCUUAACAUUUUACUUUUAUAUAGUUUUUUGUUUGUCUUUCUAUAUUUAAUGAUGAUGUUUUGUUGGGGUGACAUGAAGAAUAAAUAAACUCUUCAUUAUUAUAUCAUUUAUUUAUGUUUGUUGUUUUGAUCCAUAAUUUAUGAUCAUAAGAUUAAGUUACCUUAGGGAUAACAGCGUAAUUGUUUUUGAGAGCUCAUAUCGACAAAGCAGAUUGCGACCUCGAUGUGGGAUUAAGAAAAAUUUUGGGUGCAGUAGCCCAGUAAUUAGGUCU
rnacentral:rRNA from 1 species